CUAUACAUGCAGUCGAGCGGACAGAAGGGAGCUUGCUCCCGGAUGUUAGCGGCGGACGGGUGAGUAACACGUGGGUAACCUGCCUGUAAGACUGGGAUAACUCCGGGAAACCGGAGCUAAUACCGGAUAGUUCCUUGAACCGCAUGGUUCAAGGAUGAAAGACGGUUUCGGCUGUCACUUACAGAUGGACCCGCGGCGCAUUAGCUAGUUGGUGGGGUAAUGGCUCACCAAGGCGACGAUGCGUAGCCGACCUGAAAAGGGUGAUCGGCCACACUGGGACUGAGACACGGCCCAGACUCCUACGGGAGGCAGCAGUAGGGAAUCUUCCGCAAUGGACGAAAGUCUGACGGAGCAACGCCGCGUGAGUGAUGAAGGUUUUCGGAUCGUAAAGCUCUGUUGUUAGGGAAGAACAAGUGCGAGAGUAACUGCUCGCACCUUGACGGUACCUAACCAGAAAGCCACGGCUAACUACGUGCCAGCAGCCGCGGUAAUACGUAGGUGGCAAGCGUUGUCCGGAAUUAUUGGGCGUAAAGGGCUCGCAGGCGGUUUCUUAAGUCUGAUGUGAAAGCCCCCGGCUCAACCGGGGAGGGUCAUUGGAAACUGGGAAACUUGAGUGCAGAAGAGGAGAGUGGAAUUCCACGUGUAGCGGUGAAAUGCGUAGAGAUGUGGA
rnacentral:rRNA from 2 species